UGAGGGUGUCUGGUAAAGCAAGCUCGGGGAGGUGUUGGAAAUCUGAAUGUCACCCGCGGUCCGGAGCAGAUAGGAUGGGCUGGGAAGGUACCCGCGAACUGCCGCCGGAAUUCGCUGGCAGCUGUGCGAGGCUCAGGUGUUCUAGUUUCUUUGACAUUUCCCUUCCUGAAAGCGGCAAGGAGAGGUCUAAGAGUGGGCAAACUUCAACGUUCGGUUACAGUGUAAUUAAUGAGAGUGAAAGGAAGGAGGAAACCUGAACAGUACAUCCAGAGAAUCCAGCAAAGCAUACCACGGCAUGAACAUGCAAGUGGACAGAAUUAAAACACAUGCCAGAAACACUAAUGGAUUCUAAACAAGAUGCAGUUUCAUUUCCUGAGCCUAUACGUGAUGUUUUUAACUGUUCUCCAGUUAAUAUGUCUCCAUUUCCAGAAAUC
rnacentral:lncRNA from 1 species